rnacentral:rRNA from 1 species
ACGUAGGUGGCGAGCGUUACUCGGAAUUACUAGGCGUAAAGCGAGUGUAGGCGGGAGCUUAAGUCGACUGUUAAAUCUCAUGGCUUAACCAUGAAAUGCCGGUUGAUACUGGGCUUCUUGAAUUCGGUAGAGGAAACUGGAAUUCCAGGUGUAGCGGUGAAAUGCGUAGAUAUCUGGAAGAACGCCAAAGGCGAAGGCAGGUUUCUGGGCCGCAAUUGACGCUGAGACUCGAAAGCUAGGGGAGCAAACAG